CGGAGCGUGGCGCAGCCUGGAUAGCGCACUACCUUGGGGUGGUAGGGGUCGCUGGUUCAAAUCCAGUCGCUCCGA
rfam:Candidate division KSB1 bacterium 4484_188 ex4484_188_scaffold_53408, whole genome shotgun sequence.